AACGUAGGAGACAAACGUUAUCCGGAGUUACUGGGCGUAAAGGGUGUGUAGGUGGCGCGCUAAGUCGGGUGUGAAAUUUCGGAGCUUAACUCCGAAACUGCAUUCGAUACUGGCGUGCUUGAGGACUGGAGAGGAGACUGGAAUUCAUGGUGUAGCAGUGAAAUGCGUAGAGAUCAUGAGGAAGACCAGUGGCGAAGGCGGGUCUCUGGACAGUUCCUGACACUGAGACACGAAGGCCAGGGGAGCAAACGGG
rnacentral:rRNA from 1 species